rnacentral:misc_RNA from 1 species
CGGAAGGAAAAUUUUUGUCAUUUACUGUGGAAAAUAAGGAAGUUUCAAACUCCAAAAUGUUCUGUUUCUCUUGCUCUAAACAAACGAAAGACCCAAAAAUUUUGGACCAUGUCCUGCACAAUUCUCAUCCUAUGUUUCUUCCUGAAGCUCGGAUCUUCAGAAAGCAGCAUUCAAGAUGGAUUUUUGUUCAAUGGUUACUUCAAGUUUGGUGACAGCGCAGAGCUAAACAAUUCCAACAUGUUCUCUCAAGUAAUAUAUGCUGAUAGUGGGCUUAGCAAAGCAAACCAAGUCUUCUAUAACCAUCCUUUCAAAUUCAAAAACUCACCCACUGGUUCUGCCUUCUCCUUCUCCACUACCUUCAUUGUUGCAGUAGUAGCCAAGGACCCUGAAUUCAACGGCCAUGGACUUGCCUUCGCUAUCUCGCCAUCGAAAGGUAUUCCUGGUGCCUUACCAAAUCAGCAUCUUGGCCUUUUUAAUGCAUCUAACAAUGGAAAUAGUUCAAAUCAUGUAGUUGCAGUGGAGCUUGACACAGACCAAGAUUUUCAAUUUAAUGACAUAGAUGAUAACCAUCUGGGUAUUGAUAUUAAUGGGUUAAUGUCGGUUCAAUCUGCUACUGCUGGUUACCAUGAUGAGCAUGGGCGUUUCAAACAGCUAUAUCUCAAAAGUGGAAAACUAAUUCAGGUCUGGGUUGAAUAUGAGAGCUUGAAUCAACGGCUUAAUGUCACAAUACAUCCAACAACAAUACCUAAACCCGUGCUUCCACUUUUAUCCUUGACAAAAGAUCUUUCCCCUUAUUUCUUUGAGGUUAUGUAUGUUGGCUUCUCAUCUGCUGGUGGGUCUAAAUCUUCUCACUAUAUCUUCGGUUGGAGUUUCAGGAUGAAUGGUCAAGCCGACGAGAUUAACCUGUCUACCCUUCCUGAUAUUCCUGGUGUUACAAGAGACAAUGAAGGGGAUGCAGGGGAUGGAUAUAGAAAAGUGCAGAAGAUUUUGGCAGUUGUAUUAUCUUUAGUUGGGGUUAUUUUUCUUCUACUCUUGAUUUUUGGAGCACUUAUGAUUUCAAGGAGGAGAAAAUUCAUUCAGGUGCUUGAGGAUUGGGAAAUGCUAUAUGGACCUCACAGGUUCUCCUAUAAGGACCUAUUUAUUGCCACAAAAGGCUUCAGACAAAGACAACUUCUUGGAAAAGGAGGUUUUGGCAGGGUAUAUAGAGGCAUUCUACCAUUCUCAAAUGUUCAAAUUGCAGUGAAGAGAAUUUCUCAUGAUUCCAGGCAGGGAAUGAGAGAAUUCGUAGCUGAAAUUGCAACCAUUGGCCGUCUCAGGCACCCGAACUUGGUUCGACUUCUGGGAUAUUGCAGGCGCAAGAAUGAACUUUUCUUAGUUUAUGACUAUAUGCCUAAUGGAAGUCUUGAUAAGUUCCUUUAUCAAUUACCCAAUUGCAUACUGAACUGGAAACAAAGAUUCAAAAUCAUCAAAGAUGUGGCAUCUGCACUUUUCUAUCUGCACCAACAAUGGGUUCAAGUUAUAAUCCAUAGAGACAUCAAACCUGCGAAUGUACUCAUCGAUGAACAGAUGAAUGCCAGGCUAGGAGAUUUUGGGCUUGCUAGGUUAUGUGACCACGGAAACGCUCCUCAAACCUCUCAUGUAGCUGGGACUCCAGGUUAUAUUGACCCUGAGAUUGUGCAGAGUGGAAAAUCAACGACAUGUACUGAUAUAUACGCAUUUGGGGUGUUUAUGCUUGAGGUUACUUGUGGUAGAAAGCCUGUGGAUCCUCAAGCUUCCUUGGAGAAAGUAGUGUUGAUAGAUUGGGUAAUGAAUUGUUGGGAUAGAGGAGCAAUUUUGGAGGCAGUUGAUUGCAAACUAGGAGAUGAUUAUGUGUUGCAUGAAACUGAAUUGGUUUUGAAGCUUGGAUUGCUUUGUUCACAUCCAGUGGCUGCAGGUAGGCCAAGCAUGUCUAGCGUAGUACAAUUCUUGGAUGGAGCUGCUCAGUUGCCUGAAAGUCUAAGUUCUAUGAUUAAAUCUCGAGAUUUUGGUGACAACUCUGGUCAAGGAGGUGUAGCUUAUGAUGAAUUCCCUUCUGGAAAUGUUACCAUUGCUUCAUUGACAUUUACAGAGUCAUUUGCCUCUGAUGGACGUUAAUAUGGUAUGGAUUUAUUCUGUGGGAAACUAUUGCUUAGACCUUGUUCACUGUGGAUUCAAAUACAACAUAUAAAUAAUUACUGAGGCCAUAGAUCAUUUGUCUUGGGUUCAUGGUGAGCCGAGUCAAGGUAAGAAAAAUCCUUUAUAUUGCUACUAAUCAUACUAUACUAACAAGAAUAAUCAAUGAGUUGCAACACAGGUGAAUUUUAAAAUGGCUGUCUCCUGUUUGUCCACUUUGCUCUUUCAUUAUUAAUGUUUUGUUGAGAAAAAUUAAUUUAGGAUAAUUUCACUUAGACUUGUUUAUUAUGAAUUUAAAAUAUAAAUAUGUGACUCAUAUUAUACAUGUUGUAUCUUGUAUUCAUAAUUGUUAAAUUUGUGACUUAAAAUCUUAGUGGAU